rnacentral:lncRNA from 1 species
AUCAGAACAAAAAGAUAAAAAUAGACAUGGGCCUUCUAAACAGGUUGGGCCAAAAUUACAAUAAAUAAAAAUUAUAACUAAAAACAUAUUUAACUUGGGCCUUCAAAUUAGUUUGGGCCUUCAGCAACAAUUAAUUGUCUUGAUAGUGUCUCUGCCUCUGGAUCUUCAUCCUUCUCCACUUGGGCCUUCAUCCUUCUCCACUUGGGGGCUUUGUCCUUCUCCACUUGGGUCUUCGUCCUUCUCCACUUGGGCCUUUAUCCUUCUCCACUUGGGGGCUUUGUCCUUCUCCACUUGGGCCUUUAGCCUGUAUUUGGCCAGUUUCAUGAUUCUCA